GUGGAUGUCUGCAGCUAGACUCUCUUGUAAACCGGAGCAUUUCUUGGAAAUGGUGUGACUUCAAAUAAUGAGCUAGCCACCCCCCCUCCUGGGUGUAGCCCACCCAGCUCAGCUUUAAGAGGCGCCGUAGAGAGACUGAGCUCUCAUCCUGCACUCAGUCGGAACAGCCAAGGUCUACCCGGAGCUGGUCUUAUUUCUGUGUUGAAGGCUGAACCUGGACCUGGGCCAGACCGAUACAACCAGAAAAUCUACGGAAACGUGCGACUUCAGUGCAUCUGCUCAACAACCCAUCACACCAACUGACUAACCAGGGAAACCAAUGUGAUCACACCAGGGAUAUUUCUACGAGGAUCAACCUGGUUUCAGAGAGGGAACAAACUGUUGAUUGUCAGGGCUAACCUUCCUGCUAUCUUCACAACCACUCAGAAGAUCUUAUAACUGCUUGAAUUUGUCAGAAUUCUGAGAAGUUUACAAAUAUUGCUACAAUGUUUAAUACUGUUAAAACAUUGUUUUCGUCCAAACCUAAGCGGUUGGCAAUAGCUGUUAAAAUAGAAGGCAAUAAGAUUAACGGACCUUCAGGUACUCUGGACGUCUACGCUCUUCCUCUGGAAGCCCAGUCCAUGGAGGUAGAGGGGUGUCAGUGCUCCUUAUUUGGACAAGAGUUUAGUAAAAAGAACCGCACCAUCAUGUUUCUAGGAGCCACUGGGGCGGGGAAGUCCACCCUGGUCAACAGGAUGAUCAACUACAUCCUGGGGGUAGAAUGGGAUGAUACCUUUAGAUUUAAGUUGGUAGACGAAAGCACGGCCAGGUCUCAGACUCAAAGCCAGACCUCUGAAGUCAACGUGUACAAGCUCUACCACCAAGAGGGCUUCAAGAUCGACUACUCCCUGACUAUUGUGGACACUCCGGGUUUCGGAGACACGAGAGGCAUAGCGAGAGAUAAGUUGAUUAUGACUCAGCUAGAAAAUGUAUUCUCGGCUAAAUCUGGGAUCAGAGAGAUUGAUGCAAUCUGCUUCGUGGCCCCAGCGUUUCUUUCUCGGCUUACGCCAACACAGAAAUACAUCUUUGAAUCAGUGCUCGCCAUAUUUGGCAAAGACGUGGCAGAGAACAUCCGGAUUUUGGUGACAUUUGCAGAUUUCAAAAAACCUUUGGUUCUCGAGGCGAUCAAAGAGUCCGGGCUCCCAUGUCCUACAGAGGAAAAUGGUUUACCAAUUCACUUCAAAUUCAAUAACUCUGACAAAAUGACACCUGGUGCAAACAACGAAGAUGAGGACAGUGACGAUGGAGUAAUUGAUUGGGAUAAAAAGCUUUGGGACAUGGGAACCAAAAACAUGAACAAAUUCUUUUCUGCUCUGAACGUCAUUGAGACCAAGAGCUUGACCUUAACCACGGAGGUGCUCAGACAGAGAGCCCAGCUGCAGAUCUCCAUUGAGGAUUUCAAUAGGAAGGUGAAAUUUGGGUUAACUAAACUCGAGGAGAUUAAAAAAGAAUCUGAAUCUCUCAAAGAUCACGAAUCAACGAUCAAAGCCAAUGGGGAUUUUUAUUAUUUCGUCAAUGUCCCAAGGCCUGUUAAAGUUAAAUGCAGUACAUCAUCACUUAACUGUGGGACAUGUGAUGUCACUUGCCACAAAUCUUGCGGGAAAGUUUGGGGAUUCCUUUAUUUUUGUGAAGCCUUUGACGGGUGGGCUAACUGUGUUAUAUGCGAACGCAAGUGCGCUAAAAGAAACCAUGUCUUUAAUGAUUACUACUGGGAUACCGAGACAGUGGCAGAGAAACGAACCUACAAGGAGGUGAAAGAAAAGUAUGAGUUGGCCUCUAAGGAAGCAAUGUCCAUUGAAGACAUCAUCAAACAGAUGGAGCUGGAGUACGACCACCUACAGGACGAGGUGGUCAAGCUGAUGGAGCGCUCAGCCCAGUGUCUCAACACCCUGAAGGAGAUCGCUCUGAGGCCCGAUCCACUCUCAACAACUGAAUACAUCGACCUACUGAUUGGGCAAGAGAAGUCAGACCACAAGCAUGGCUUCAUGGAGCGCAUCGAGAAACUCGAGGACAUGAAGAGAAAUGCCAUUACCAUUGAGAAGGUUGCUAGCGGGGCCCCACUUGGGUCCAUUUAUUAACAUGUCCUUUACAUAUUGAGGCUUUUGAUUUGAUUUAAUUUCAAGGAUGCUCUUGAUGAGAAUUAACAGAGUAAUGCAAUUGCUAGAAAUUAAACAUGUUGGUAAAAAUGUUUUGUUUUAAACAUUCUUUCUUAUCGGGUAUUGGCAGAGUAAAUUGCAUAAAAACACUAUGAUGUGUGAAUGCAUUUUCCUAAUUCAAAAAGAGGAGCGUUCUUCCUUGCUUCACUGGUUUGUUUAUCUUAGAUGCUGUGUGUGUGUGUGUGUGUGGAGCCCCCCCACCCCACCCCCUCUCUCUUUUCGUUAAUCUGGACCUGACAACCUGUUCGCUCUCUGGCUGAGAUAGCAUUGAGUGAGACUUCUCGGAUUCGCUCAGUCUAGAUCACGAUGUUGAAAUGAGAAAAUAUGGAGGAGUUCAUUACCCUGAUUGUGAUUUUGGUUUCUUUUGUUCUGUUUACUUUAUAUGCUUGGCAGCACUCCCCACUCCAGCUGGAACACUGAGUCACUGAGUGUAUUGACUUGCUGCUUCUUUAUCCUGAUUUUUCAAAUUAAUUGUGCAAAUUCUUACGUGUACUUGAAACGCACAUUGGAUUAUGGCUGUGAUGUACUUUCAUCAUGAGAUAAAGAUAUUUCUUAUUAUUUUUAAAUUCAUGGUUUGUUGUGUUCUUCAUCAGUAGUUUAUUAAUGUAGAUGUUAUGGCAAUUCAUGAUGCAUUAUUUUUAAGUUUGGGUCCCGGGGAAACACAUAUUUCUCCUUUGGGUCUUGAAGUGAAAAGGUUUGGAACCCCUGUAUUAGAGGACAAGAACCAAGGCUCUAAAACCAUAUUUACUAAAGCAUAAUCAUGUUGAAGCAUGCAUGUUAACUAAAAGAGAAAUAAAGAUUAAUACAAUGAUCUGUGUUUACUUUAAACCUUUUUAUUAAUUGAUGCCCAUUGUAUAUUCUCAGAUAUUUGUUUGAAGUUGUCCUUUGCAGGCUUCCCCUUCGGUUCAGUAUAAAAAAGUUCAUGAAACCACCAGCAGGUGGCGAAAACAGUCUCGUGUUAGUUUUGUGUUAACUUUGUAUAACAGACGCUAACAUUUAUCGCCCCCAGCCGCAGCCCUUCAUUUUUAUGUCGAAUGUACAAUUUCCCAAUUGAUAAACACUGUACGUGUCCCUCACACUGCAUUAAUCCAAUAGGGUCAAAUAUCCAACACAACAUAUUCUCUGGAACAGAAAUAAUUGACAAAUAUAAAUUACAAAAUGUGUCUCCUUAAAUAAUAACACCUUAUGUGGGACAUGAACUGGUUUUGUUUUCCCCUUACCCGCCGAUCCAUUUCCCAUUCCCCAUACUUGGCCUAUAAUAAUAGUAAUAGAUUCAAUUUAUAUAGCGCUUUUCACGUAGGCUACUCAAAGCGCUUUACAUAGGGGCACAAAAAUAGAUAAACAAGAAAAAAAAAGAAGUUGAUGGGGCUAGGGAUAGUGAGUGAUCUAGGGGUAGGCAGAGGAGAAGAGAUGAGUCUUGAGGCGGGACUGGAAGAUGGUGAGGGACUCAGAGUCACGAAUAUGUUGGGGGAGGGAGUUCCAGAGCCUGGGAGAUGUCCUGGGGCCGGUUGCACCAACUGGGCGUAAGCCUGGUCGUAACUACGCCUGGUCGUAACUUGGCGUUGUCCAACCUAACCGUUACGUCGGUUGCACCAACUGGGCUUAGCGUUCUUUUCACUAAGACCAAGGCGUAAAUCCUACGCCUGGUCAGGGGCAGGCGUAGAGUUGAAAUUUCUGCUGUUUCCAUAGCAAUUACAAUAAAAAAAAAAACGUUACAAUCAAUCCAUCCAGCGCUAAUAUGGCACGUAUUAUCCAUAGGUUGUACAACGAGCGGGCAUUUAGACGGGAAAGGGUAAUUAGGGACAGAAGCAAUCCAUUGGACAUUUAUAAUGACGAGGAGCUGAUUGAGAGGUUUCGAUUCUGUAGGAGAGAUCUGUUUGAAUUAAUAGAAGAGCUGUCACCGGAUUUACAGUUCGUGUCGGACCGCAAUGCAGCGCUACCACCGUCCUUGCAACUGCUGAUUGCGCUUUGUUUUUUCGCAAACGGGGCUUUUCAGAACACAGUAAGCGACAUGGUGAGGGUCCAUAGAUCGACCGCCUGUCGGGUUAUCCGGAGGGUUUCCCUGGCUUUGAGCCGCCGCAUCGCUCGUUACGUCCACCUCCCGAACGAGGAAGAGGCGGCGGCGAUGAAGGAACGGUUCCGCCAGGCGUCCGGUAUGCCUGGGAUCGUGGGCUGCAUAGACGGGACACAUGUGCAGAUCCAGGCCCCACAUGAGAACGAGUAUUUGUACGUUAAUCGAAAAGGUUACCAUUCGAUUAACGUACAAAUAGCUUGUGACGCAAAUUAUAACAUCAUUAAUUUGGUGGCGAGAUGGCCUGGAUCCACCCACGAUUCCCGCAUCCUCCGGGAGAGUGCGUUAUUGCAGGACUUCGAGGAAGGAAGGUGCAACGGGCUGCUCCUCGGGGACAGUGGAUACCCGCUGAAACGGUGGCUGAUGACCCCGCUAAUUGCUCCAACAACUGACCAAGAACGGAGGUAUAACACCAUACACUCCGCAACUAGGUCAGUUGUUGAGAGAUGUAUCGGGGUUCUCAAACGCAGGUUUCACUGUCUUCAUGGGGAGAUGCGGAUGCACCCAGAACGGGUCUGCACUGUAAUAGCAGCGUGCACAGUUCUGCACAACAUUUGCAUCGCCAAAAUAAUCCCUCUCCCCAGACACCAUCAGCCACCGGCAGUCCCCGAGGAAGAUGUGCGUCAAGCCACUCGGCCUGAGGACAUCGCUGGCCGAUUAGUCCGUGCUCAGCUCAUUAAUCAGUUGUAAAUAUUGUUUUAAUUAUGUUUUUUAUAGGCCGAGACGAACUGUAAAUCCGGUGACAGCUCUUCUAUUUAUUCGAACAUAUCUCUCCUACAGAAUCGAAACACCUCAAUUAGCUCCUUGUCAUUUGAUGAUGUUCACUGCAUUGCUUCUGUCAAAAAUAACCAUUCCCGUCUAAAUGCCUGCUCGUUGUAUUUUAUUGUUAUGCAUUAAAAAAAUUUAUGAACGAAAAUGAAUGAAAGAAUGAUUGGAAGGAAUAUUUAU